rnacentral:rRNA from 1 species
AGCCAUGCGAGUCAUUGUAGCAAUACAAGGCAGACGGCUCAGUAACGCGUAGUCAAUCUACCCUGUUGACGGGGAUAACCUCGGGAAACUGAGAAUAAUACCCGAUAGAACAUUAUGCCUGGAAUGGUUUAUGUUUCAAAUGAUUUAUCGCAAUAGGAUGGGACUGCGGCCUAUCAGUUUGUUGGUGAGGUAAUGGCCCACCAAGACUAUUACAGGUACGGGCUCUGAGAGGAGUGGCCCGGAGAUGGGUACUGAGACACGGACCCAGGCCCUAUGGGGCGCAGCAGGCGAGAAAACUUUGCAAUGUGCGAAAGCACGACAAGGUUAAUCCGAGUGGUUUCUGCUAAAGAAACCUUUUGUCAGUCCUAGAAACACUGAUGAAUAAGGGGUGGGCAAGUUCUGGUGUCAGCCGCCGCGGUAAAACCAGCACCUCAAGUGGUCAGGAUGAUUAUUGGGCCUAAAGCAUCCGUAGCUUGUUUUGUAAGUUUUCGGUUAAAUCCAUACGCUUAACGUAUGGGCUGCCGGGAAUACUGCAUAACUAGGAAGUGGGAGAGGUAGACGGUACUCGGUAGGAAGGGGUAAAAUCCUUUGAUCUAUUGAUGACCACCUGUGGCGAAGGCGGUCUACCAGAACACGUUCGACGGUGAGGGAUGAAAGCUGGGGGAGCAAACCGGAUUAGAUACCCGGGUAGUCCCAGCUGUAAACUAUGCAAACUCAGUGAUGCAUUGGCUUGUGGCCAAUGCAGUGCUGCAGGGAAGCCGUUAAGUUUGCCGCCUGGGAAGUACGUACGCAAGUAUGAAACUUAAAGGAAUUGGCGGGGGAGCACCACAAGGGGUGAAGCCUGCGGUUCAAUUGGAGUC